GUAUAGCGACUAUACUGUGAAACUGCGAAUGGCUCAUUAAAUCAGUUAUGGUUUAUUUGAUGGUACCUUGCUACUUGGAUAACCGUAGUAAUUCUAGAGCUAAUACAUGCAGGAAUUCCCGACUUCGGAAGGGAUGUAUUUAUUAGAUAAGAAACCAAACCGGUCUCCGGUUGUGUGCUGAGUCAUAAUAACUGCUCGAAUCGCACAGCUCUACGCUGGCGAUGGUUCAUUCAAAUUUCUGCCCUAUCAGCUUUCGAUGGUAGGAUAGAGGCCUACCAUGGCGUUAACGGGUAACGGAGAAUUAGGGUUCGAUUCCGGAGAGGGAGCCUGAGAAAUGGCUACCACAUCCAAGGAAGGCAGCAGGCGCGUAAAUUGCCCGAAUCCUGACACAGGGAGGUAGUGACAAGAAAUAACAAUACAGGGCUCUCUGAGUCUUGUAAUUGGAAUGAGUACAAUUUACAUCUCUUCACGAGGAUCAAUUGGAGGGCAAGUCUGGUGCCAGCAGCCGCGGUAAUUCCAGCUCCAAUAGCGUAUAUUAAAGUUGUUGCAGUUAAAACGCUCGUAGUCGGAUUUCGGGGCAGGGCCGCCGGUCUGCCGAUAGGUAUGCACUGGCGGGCGCGUCCUUUUUCCCGGAGACGGCUGCUACUCUUAACUGAGCGGUGGUCGGAGACGGGAUGUUUACUUUGAAAAAAUCAGAGUGUUUCAAGCAGGCAGUCGCUCUUGCAUGGAUUAGCAUGGGAUAAUGAAAUAGGACUCUGGUGCUAUUUUGUUGGUU
rnacentral:rRNA from 1 species